AUUGAAAAAAAUGAAUGAAUUUUGAAUUCGAUUAUUGGUUUCAUCAAAGUGUAAACAACAACAGCGGUAGGUGGAGCCAAAGAGUAAAGAUGAAAAGGGUAGAAAGUUAAACUCAUGCCCACUGGAGGGAGGCAACGGUAAAAUUAACGGAUUUCAUACUUAAAGUGAGUUUAAUUAAUAAAUUACAAAAAUUUAAACUUAAUAGCAGAAUAUUUGGUCGCUGAAGUUAUUGAAUUGGCAGGCAAUGCUGCUCCUGGUAAAAAGGCUCGUAUUAUCCCAAGACAUCUUCAAUUGGCUAUCAGAAGGACGAAAAAUUUAGCAAAUUACUUUCCGAUGUUAUCAUCACUCAAGGCGUUCUACUUGAUGUCCAGACUGUCCACUUACCAAAGGAUUUCAUAUACGUACAUGUAAUUUAUAAUCUGAAACUAGGCACAACCAGAUUCAGAUAAUUAUAGACACUUCUAAUUCAUUUGAUUCUCGACUGAGCCUUUUUAUGACAAUUCUUUUCAUAUUUUAUGCGUAAUUAAUGAUUGAUUAACUCAAUGAUAAUUGCAAGAGUGGGUUGAUUUAAAUGUUGAAAUUGAAGAAAUAUGAAUGAAAUGAUUAGAGGUAUUCAUCAUUCACCAGAAAAAAAUACAUAAAUGAGAAUCUCCUUUCAGAAACUAUUAAUAAACCCAUUAUGCCCUAAUAUUUAGCUUUAUUUUUCUUAAAAUUGAAUCAAUCAAAUUGAUAUUUUAAUAAAUUAAAGUGAAAAUUUUAGCUUGAAAUGCAAGUAAGCUGACUAAUUUACAGCUAGCUUGAAGCUUCCUCAGCCAAUAACUCCUCAGACUAAAGCCAUAAACAAGUAAAGGUAACUGAAUUGAUUGCACUCAUUAAGUUGAGUAUCUAAUGAAAGUUGAGUAGGCAAGUGAUCAAAAUUAUGGUCAAUCUCUUUUGCUGGGAAUGGUGGCGCAUUCCUGUAACUCCAGUGACUUGGAGAGCUUAGGUCGGUGGACGAGUGGCUGGCAGGGUCACUGGGUGUUGUAAGGCUAUGUUGAUCGGACGUCCGCACUAAGCUCUGCGUCAAUAUGGUCACCUUGGGAGAACCUUGGGUGACCAGGUUGAUUUAAUGAGAAGUGUAACGGCUCAGGACGGAAACGUAGCAGGCAAAAGCUUCCGCGUUGAGUAGUAGUGGGAUCGCGUCUGUGAGUAGUCAACAGCAUCUAGCCUGUCCGGUCCAUUUGGACCCGAACCUUUUA